rnacentral:rRNA from 1 species
UACGUAGGGGGCUAGCGUUGUCCGGAAUCAUUGGGCGUAAAGCGCGUGUAGGCGGCCCGAUAAGUCCGCUGUGAAAGUCCAGGGCUCAACCCUGGGAUGCCGGUGGAUACUGUCGGGCUCGAGUCCGGAAGAGGCGAGUGGAAUUCCUGGUGUAGCGGUGAAAUGCGCAGAUAUCAAGAGGAACACCUGCGGCGAAGGCGGGUUGCUGGGCUGACACUGACGCUGAGGCGCGAAAGCUAGGGGAGCGAACGGG